CUUCUUAUUUGCUGGACGCUGAUCUCCCUGCAGCCCUCGGAGGCGGCGGCCGCGCUGCUUUCAUUUCGGGGCUGUCAUCACCAGAAACGCCGGCUGCCGGCCGCCCACCAGCUCGGCUCCAGCCAGGCGGUGGCCUCUACAAGGAUGUCUGACCUAGAGUGGAGAUGGGGUGACUGAGGAUGGAAAUCUAGUCUGAACUCCACUCUCCAAUUUGGCAGAAGACCUGUGUCUUACUCAGCUUUGUGUUCCUUACAUCUCUGUAGCACACACUCCCCUGCGAAGGGGUUUUAUAAGGAACCCAGAGCCAAGACAAAGGAAUCAGGAGGAAUUCUAGCACAAUGGGAAGCCCCUGAAGGGUUUAAGCAGAAGACAAUAAAAGACUCCGAGAAGUGGCAGCAGGGAGUGGAGGAAAAAAAGCCUGGAAUUUACCCUGCUUUCUGCUCUGCACAUGGAAUGCCCCCUCCAUGUGUCCAUUGUCAUCCAAGGUGUUUUGACAGGUCUAGAGUGGGGUAAAAGAAUGGUAUUUAUUCAGGCCUAAUAUUGAGGCUUGGGGCUGGGCUGUAUAUCAGAGGGCAUGCAUAGACAAAGCUGAACAAAGGGGCACACCUACUGGGCACCUGCUGGGCACUUCUCUAAAACUGGCACUGAGACAUCAUUAGGAUGAAUUAGAACUAGGACACCAGUUAACCCGGGCCUGCACACUAGUGAAAGGAAAAUUGCGCCUCUCCCCUGACCCUGCUCCAGACAACUGAAUGGUGACUUCAAGAACAAAUAUUCAGGCCGGGUGCAGUGGCUCACACCUGUAAUCCCAACACUUUUGGAGGCUGAGGUGAGUGGAUCACCUGAGGUCAGGAGUUCGAGACUAGCCUGGCCAACAUGGUGAAACCCUGUUUCUACUAAAGAUACAAAAAUUAGCUGGGCGUGGUGGUGGGUGCCAGUAAUCUCAGCUAGGAGGCUGAGGCAGGAGAAUCGCUUGAGCCCGGGAGGCAGAGGUUGUUGAGAUGGUGCCAUUGCACUUCAGCCUGGAUGACAAGAGCAUAACUCUGUCUCAAAAAAAAAAAAAAAAAGAACAAAUAUUCAAAGGAUAUUAAUUAGAAGGGGAGUGACAUUGUAGACCAGACCAUGCUCCAUCAUAUAAAAGCUGUAUUGUUGGCAAAGUUGUUGAGCAUCUCAUGGCCUCAUUUUCCUCGUCUGUAAACUAGUGCCUUGUCACACAAAUCUGUUAUGAGGAUUACAUGAGUGCCUAGGCAGAUGACAACUGUUAUGUAGCAAAUCUGUAGUGAGAAAUGAACCCAGAAUAUGCAGCACAAAAUGCCUCCUUAACUCCAUAGUCAGGUUAGAAAAAGAGAAGAGAAGGAAAGAGGAGAGAGAGAACCUGUCAUCACAGAGAGAUCCCCACCCCCAUCCCCCUCUGCUGGCUACCAAGGUAAGGUAGACCUGCCCACAAGGCUGGAAGUUUUGGAAAAGUAAAGAAAGUCUAAACACAUGCACAUACAAACACUAUUACUUAACAUUUUAGUAAUAUUAAGUCAUAUAACAUUUGGUGCCCAGGGUAAACUUCCAUUUGAUUAGAGGAUCCGGUUAGGUUAGUAUCAUCUCAAAAUUUACCUAAUUUAGUCUUCUCAUCAACCUCUCAAAGUAGUGUCUGCAUAUUUGGAUAUCAUUAACCUGUAGUCAAAACCAGGAGAUGUGGUGGUUCAUACAUAUUUUGUACACAUAAAGAUUCGACUUCAAUUUCUGCAGAAUAAGGUCAUAGCACACUUAGUAUUUAAUGUAUUUAAAGACAUGUAUGCAAAGAGAAAACAUGACAGCAUUUACCUCAUGCCCCUUAGCAUGAAAGCAUACAACACUAAUGAUAACUUUAUUAUCCUAUUUUUGAAUACCACCAGCAACCUGAGAAAUUAUUUACGUUCAGAUACAAACAGGUCAAAUAUAAAUGGCCACAAUAGGAGCCAACUAUUAAUACAUAAUUAUAAAAUAUUAAGUCCCUUCUGAAGAAGCAAAAAAUGGCAUUUGCGGCUGGGCACGGUGGCUCACGCCUGUAAUCCCAGCACUUUGGGAGGCCGAGGUGGGUGGAUCACCUGAGGUCAGGAGUUCAAGACCAGCCUGACCAACAUGGUGAAACCCCAUCUCUACUAAAAAUACAAAAUUUAGCUGGGUGUGGUGGCGGGCACCCGUAAUCCCAGCUACUCGGAAGGCUGAGGCGUGAAAAUUGCUUGAACCCGGGAGGUGGAGGUUGCGGUAGGCCGAGAUCCUGCCACUGCACUCCAGCCUGGGUGACACAGCGAGACUCCAUCUCCAAAAAAAAAAAAAAA